rnacentral:lncRNA from 1 species
AGAGGUAGAAAUCAACCUUCAUUCGUGUUUAAAUAUAUUUACAUCAUGAGCUCAUACCUUCCUCUCAAAUUCCAGUCCAGCACCACAGGCUUCUUUCUCAUCUUCCCCUUCCAUAUUUGUCGCCCCCUUGCUGAAAACCCUGACUCCCAUCAACAUUAAUAUAUGUGUUCAUUUGCCCGGUGCUACGACAACCACAAAAUAGUUUCAACCGUGGCGAACACCAGUAAACCUAUCGAGUAACGUUUAGGCUUUCCUUCCUGUUCUGCUGCCUUUAGAGCAAGGUUUAACACCUUGCUUAGCUGCUCUCUGGCUCUGCCUCCUGCGACAGUGGACGAUGUCCUGAGCUAAAACGCUGGGCGCCGGUCGUGCUGUGGGGGCGCCUCUGCUGCAGGGUUUCCCGAAUGUGGCCGCGUUCUCCUGGCUCUAGCAGAGACGGUUCCACACAGGCCUGGCGUUAAAUCACCGUCAAUCACGCUGUGAGAAAUGCAUUCCUUUUCUGCUUCUCCUUCCACUCUCUGCCGACUUCAAGGAGAAUGUCUCAGAGCCCGACUGCUUGGUUUCGAAUGGUAACCCUGCUUACUUUUCAGCUGUGACCUUUGGCAAGUUACUUAAGAGCUGUGUGCCUCAGUCUCCCCGUCUGCCUACUAGAGCUAUAACGGCACCCCAUCGUAGCAUCGUUGUGGGGAUGAAUGAGUUAAUGUUGGUAAAGUGCCCCCCGGAGUGCCUGGCACGGGGUUGUUCCCACAUCUUGGCUGUCGUGAAUAGUGCUACAGCGAACAUCAAACUAAAAAGCUUCCACCCAGCAAAGGAGACAAUCAACAGAGUGAAAAGGCAACUACAGAGUGGGAGAAGAUAUUUACCAACCAUGUGUCUGAUAAGGGGUAUAUAGCCAAAGUAAUAAGGAACUCCUACAACUCCACAGCAAAAAAUUGAAUAACUCAAUUGAAAAAUGGACUAAGGACUUGAAUUUUUCCAAAGGAGACACACAAAUGGCCAACAGGUACAUGAAAAGAUGCUCAACGUCACUGAUCAUCAGGGAAAUGCAAAUCAAAACCUUAUACCUGUGAGGAUGGUUGUUACCAAAAAAACAAAGACAAGUGUUGGUGAGGAUGUAGAGAAAUUGAAACCCUCGCACACUGUUGAUGGGGAUGCAAAAAGAUGCGGUCGCUAUGGAAGAUAGUAUGGAGGCUCCUCAAGAAGUUAAAAGUUGACUACCAUAUGAUCCAGCCACCCCACUUCUGGGUACUUAUCCGCAAGAGCUGAAACCAAGCUUUCUUUUGCAGUGGGCAGUACUCUCCUUCCCCAGGUGCCCACUGUCCAGAGGUCCCUGCCUUUCUCUUGCACUCCCUGCCUCGGGCCUGGGGCCUUUGCUGGGGUGCUCAGGAGCUUCUGAGGGUGGGAUUAACAGGCACUGAAGCUCGGUCACCUCCACAACUUCUAAAUUGGGUUUCUCACCAACGAUGUGAAGAUUUCAUGGAACAAGGGGCCUCUGCCGCCACCUGCUGGGCACCUGGGGAAAGGGCUCUUACGCCCCAAGGAGCCCUUCCUGCUGUCUGGGCAUUUAUAAAUGCAUGCCAGCAAUAGCAAUAACAAUAGCUGUGAUUUAUUAAAUGAUUGUCAGACAUUGUACCAAGUGCUUUCAAGACACGAUGUCUUAAUCUCCAACAGCCUUGAAAUGUGGCUGCCUUCUCCUCAUGUAUUUAUAUAGAGAGAUGAGGAAGCAUGCUCAGCAAGAGAAAGAAUGGUCAACAUCACACGGCCAGCGACUGGCCAGUGGAUUCGAACCCAGGUCUGUCUGGCCCCAAAGUGGGGCUGAGCAGCGUCCUGGAGAAAGGCAGAGAGGGAGCGAGAGGGUGGGCAGGAGAGGCUGGAGGGCUGUAGAAGGUUCUGGAAACUACUCCUGGUGACCUUCCCGGGAAGGUCCACUCACAGCUACUCCCUCUCUGGAUGCCCAGGGCCUUGCUCUGAGUCCUCCUCAGCACAUCCUUCUGCCCACCUUGGGCGUGCACUCCCUCACCCAGCAUCACAGCUGGGGAAACUGAGGCUCCAGAGGUGGAGAAUCUAGACCAUGGAUUCCAGAGAGUGUGGGGCAGAGGGGAGACUGAUCCCAGGCCCUGAGCCCAGUGCUGGGGGGAUCCAAGUGAACAACGAGAAACAGGGAAGGCGACCUGAGCCCAAGUUUCUGUCCACGUCAACUCCUCACGAUCCGGGGCCCACAGGGCAGGUGGGCAUAGGGGCUGGGAGACCCUCUGUGGGAUAGAUUCCCGGUGCGCACUCUGAAUGAUGGCCUUGCCACCGUCAAGGGCCCCGCCUGUCCGUCAGGAGGCCUCUCCAAGGGAGGGCCUGCCACGAUGUCGGAGCAGCACUCUUUUCUGGCUCUGCCACUUCCCAGCUCUGAGAUCUUGGGCAACUUCCUUCAGCUUUCCGAGCCUCAGUUUACCCUUCUGUAAAAUGGGACUAAUCGCAGUCUCUACCUCUUCGAGCUGGAUUGGGAACCAAGUGACAACCCAUACCUAAAGCCCUGAGUGCUCAGGAAGCACUUGAUAAAUGGCAUCACUAGGGACCCCCACAGACACACACUAGCCAGGCCUCAAUGCCUCUGCCAGGCUGAGAAGCAGGCGUUGUGGGAUGCCUCUGCAGGGGAAACUGAGUCACUAGGUCAGGAAGUGCCUGGGCCUAGGCUUCAGCUUGAGUCACAGGCCUAAUGCUGGGAAACCUCCCUGCAGCCACCUCCAGAAAUGCUUCGUGCCUCUGUCUGGCAGCCUCAGAGCCUCCACCCCGUGUCACCAGCCAGGGGACCUUCCCCCAAGGAGCCCCCCGCAGCCAGGCAGGCUCAGCCCUGCAAGAUGUAUCCGAUGGACGAAGGACGCUGAGAUGCACAUAUAUCCCUGCUCGACAGGCGAGGGAACUGAGGCUAGGAGGGGCAGGUGAUGCGCCCGCCGGCACAGCGGUGUGGGGGUAGGACCCUGACUCGACCCCAGGGCGUUCAUCAGAGGAAGCUCGGUGGCUGGGCUCCCUCAGGGCUGAUUUACAACCCCAGCUCAGGCCUGGGAUCAAAGUUGGUUUGCAGGAAGCCCUUCCCAUCCCGACUUCCCCGGGACCGGGACACGCUUUGACGUCAGCACGUCCACAUUCCUGCCCUCGGGCCCCAGGGUGGGGGCACCGACUUCCUCCCUCCAGCGUUGGCGUCGCAAACAGGAAGCUGGGUCACGAGGGCGGUCCCGCCAGGGCGCCCGGAGGAGGGGGUGGGAGGCCAGGCCAGGCGGCGGUCCCAGCGCUGGACCACCUGGCGCAGGGCACGGGGACGGCCGGGUCGUGUUAUAAGGCGCCCCUGUGCUCCGGGGCCCGUACAGAGGGCCUUCAAGGCUUCAUCCCUUUGGUCUUCACAAACGACACGCUCACGGAUCACGAUUUCUCUCUCGGACUGACAGCAAUGCCUACCGUGGGCCGAGCGCUCCCUCCAGGCGUGCGCUUCACACGGGUCCUCUCAUUUAAUCCUUAUAAACACCCCUCUUAUCGUCUGUUAACAGAUGAGGAAACUGAGGCACUGCAGGCUAAGUCAGUCUCCAAUGUCCCGCGGCUGUGGGGAGUGGGUGGGGACUCGGACCCAGCGUCUGCCGGGAGCCCCGUCCCCGCCCUCUCGGCCCUUGCUCCGCGUGCUGGAAACUGCAAAUCCGACCACGUCUCUCCCUCCUCACCCUUCCAUGGCUCCCCUCUACCCGGGGACGGCGGUCAGCCUUUCUCACAGGGAUCUGAAGGGACCCGCGCUGCCCUGCGGACGGAAGGACAUUACCCCCGAUGGCAUCGCUGAUGCUACAAAACCAACAGCCUUGUCUGGGUCAAUCAAGGUUGACCUCGAGAUUAGGACUCUUUGGGUCUGUUA